UACGAAGGGGGCUAGCGUUGUUCGGAAUCACUGGGCGUAAAGCGCACGUAGGCGGCUUUCUAAGUCGGGGGUGAAAUCCUGGAGCUCAACUCCAGAACUGCCUUCGAUACUGGAAAGCUCGAGUCCGGGAGAGGUGAGUGGAACUGCGAGUGUAGAGGUGAAAUUCGUAGAUAUUCGCAAGAACACCAGUGGCGAAGGCGGCUCACUGGCCCGGUACUGACGCUGAGGCACGAAAGCGUGGGGAGCAAACAGG
rnacentral:rRNA from 1 species